rnacentral:rRNA from 1 species
GACGAACGCUGGCGGCGUGCCUAAUACAUGCAAGUCGAGCGGAUCUUCAUUAGCUUGCUUUUGAAGAUCAGCGGCGGACGCGUGAGUAACACGUGGGCAACCUGCCUGUAAGACUGGGAUAACUUCGGGAAACCGGAGCUAAUACCGGAUAAUCCUUUUCCUCUCAUGAGGAAAAGCUGAAAGACGGUUUCGGCUGUCACUUACAGAUGGGCCCGCGGCGCAUUAGCUAGUUGGUGAGGUAACGGCUCACCAAGGCGACGAUGCGUAGCCGACCUGAGAGGGUGAUCGGCCACACUGGGACUGAGACACGGCCCAGACUCCUACGGGAGGCAGCAGUAGGGAAUCUUCCGCAAUGGACGAAAGUCUGACGGAGCAACGCCGCGUGAGCGAUGAAGGCCUUCGGGUCGUAAAGCUCUGUUGUCAGGGAAGAACAAGUACCGGAGUAACUGCCGGUACCUUGACGGUACCUGACCAGAAAGCUACGGCUAACUACGUGCCAGCCGCCGCCGUAACAC